rnacentral:rRNA from 1 species
CCUACGGGUGGCAGCAGUCGAGAAUCAUUCACAAUGGGGGAAACCCUGAUGGUGCGACGCCGCGUGGGGGAAUGAAGGUCUUCGGAUUGUAAACCCCUGUCAUGUGGGAGCAAAUUAAAAAGAUAGUACCACAAGAGGAAGAGACGGCUAACUCUGUGCCAGCAGCCGCGGUAAUACAGAGGUCUCAAGCGUUGUUCGGAAUCACUGGGCGUAAAGCGUGCGUAGGCUGUUUCGUAAGUCGUGUGUGAAAGUCGCGGGCUCAACCCGCGGACGGCACAUGAUACUGCGAGACUAGAGUAAGGGAGGGGGAACCGGAAUUCUCGGUGUAGCAGUGAAAUGCGUAGAUAUCGAGAGGAACACUCGUGGCGAAGGCGGGUUCCUGGACAUUAACUGACGCUGAGGCACGAAGGCCAGGGGAGCGAAAGGGAUUAGAUACCCCUGUAGUC